CGUUCGCGUUCGCGAAAGUCUAACGACCAACGCUACGCGACGUUUGUCUUCUUUCGGCGCUCACAGCGUUGGAGACAGGCGGAAUUAUCUGUGAGCUCGAUGUACGGACUCCCGACCGCACAUCUAAAUAAGGGAUCGGGUAGGAAUGGCUUCGUCUGCGUUCCUCGCAUCCUAUCUUAAAUAUAACGUUGACUACGCGUCGUAGACUCUCUUUCAGAGACGGAUUCGGACUCGGGUUCGAUUCCCGACACUUCCACUA
rnacentral:tmRNA from 1 species